AGCUCGUUUCUCGCUUAGCUCUUACUCUGCCAUCGACUCGCUUUGCUCACAGCUUCUCGCUUUGCUCAUAGCUUCUCGCUUCGCUACUAGCGCGCACUCUGCCGUCAGGCUUAUUGAUAAUUUUGAAGAUUUCCUUGGCUCUCUUGCGUCCAUUCACAACAUAGGCCAGUGGAUCGUCGCGACUAGAUUCCAUUAGAUUGUCGCACGAUUCCUGCCCGAUGUUAAACAUAAAGGAUGUGUCGAUAUCCUGCGGCAACUUGCCGCGCAGAAAGCUGAUCUCGUUGUCGGCCAACGAUGUUUUCCGCGACAAAAGCAGGGCGGACAGGUAACGUGGUUGCUUCUUCUUCUCGGCGCAGUGCAUCACCAGGCCCCAGGUGUCGUAGUCCGUGUCCAGAACGUAUGUGUUGUAGAUGCCCUCAUCUGCAAGGAGAAACAUUUCCAUCACUCACAUAUGUCCUCCGUGUGCUGCCAAUGUCCUGGCUCUUGGAAUUUGGGUAUCAUCCAGGUGAUGUUGCCCACGAGCUUCUCGCGCAGCGGAUCCUCCGCAAAUAUGGAUAAAGGUCCUUGCUGCCACUCACAUGCUGAUCCUCUUUGGAAAAGGAAAAGUGACUGCGCAUGCACGCGUACUCCGGAAGUUCCUCUGUGGAUGCGUAAUACUGAACCACGUGCCAACAGCCCAUCAUGCGCUCCAAAUCGAAGUUCUUAAUGGCUCCCACCUAAACGGAAAAUUAGUUCCAUAAUAAGUUAGAUAUGUAAGUAAUUUAGAGGAGGUCUUUAU
ensembl:ncRNA asRNA:CR44962 antisense RNA:CR44962